GGAGGAAUAUUGGUCAAUGGGGCGAGAGCCUGAACCAGCCAAGUAGCGUGCAGGAAGACGGCCCUAUGGGUUGUAAACUGCUUUUAUGCGGGGAUAAAGUGGGGGACGUGUCCCUUAUUGCAGGUACCGCAUGAAUAAGGACCGGCUAAUUCCGUGCCAGCAGCCGCGGUAAUACGGAAGGUCCAGGCGUUAUCCGGAUUUAUUGGGUUUAAAGGGAGCGUAGGCCGCCCCUUAAGCGUGUUGUGAAAUGCCGCGGCUCAACCGUGGCACUGCAGCGCGAACUGGGGGGCUUGAGUGCACGCAACGCAGGCGGAAUUCGUGGUGUAGCGGUGAAAUGCUUAGAUAUCACGAAGAACUCCGAUUGCGAAGGCAGCUUGCGGGAGUGCGACUGACGCUGGAGCUCGAAGGUGCGGGUAUCGAACAGGAUUAGAUA
rnacentral:rRNA from 1 species